GUACAGCAUGAUGAUCACUGUCAACAUCUGCAAGAAAUGACACGGGAAUAUGAUGAGUCACCUAAUUUCAAAAUCCCACUUUGGUACCAGAACAGAAACUUCACCGUGCUGGAAGAGUACUCCUAUAGACCAGGCUUCGCCCCUGGCCAAUUCACGUCAUUCAGAAAAUGGUCCUUUUGAGGAACCCUGGAUCAAAAAUUCUCUAAGUUCAGGAAUGCUACUUCUGUCUAGAUUAUAGAACUUUAUGAAAAGAAUCUCUAGAAUUUUAGUUUAAAAAGGUAUUGCCAC
rnacentral:lncRNA from 1 species